rnacentral:rRNA from 1 species
CCCUUAGAUGUUCUGGGCCGCGCGCGCGCUACACUGAUGCAUUCAACGAGUCUAAAACCUGCUCUGAUAGGGGUGGGUAAUCUUUUGAAUGUGCAUCGUGAUUGGGAUAGAUGAUUGCAAUUUUUCAUCUUCAACGAGGAAUGCCUAGUAAACGCAAGUCAUCAGCUUGCAUUGAUUACGUCCCUGCCCUUUGUACACACCGCCCGUCGCUCCUACCGAUUGAAUGAUCCGAUGAAUAUCAUGGAUUGAGGAUGCAAGUAGGUUCGCCUAUCUUCAUCUUCGAGAAGUGAAGUAAAUCUUAUCAUUUAGAGGAAGGAGAAGUCGUAACA